CUCUACGCACUAAGCCUAUAUUCUUCAAUAAACAAGUCCCGUUCACGGAGGCGUCCUUGGUUGCGUGGUAAAUUGACUUCCGGUAGAUUUUUUUUUACUAUAUAAAGAAACCAUUCCCGAAGAUUUUUACCACCACUUUUACAGCAAAUCAUGAAUGAAAACUGAAUUGUUAAAGAAGAUGUUACAGAGGAGCAUACUACUUCCAAAAACCUGAUUUGAUUGUCACUAACUUUCAAAUUGAAAGGGAUCUACUAAAACUGCUCAUGAAUUUUGAGAUUUUACAGCAAAUAGAGGAACAAAAUUUAUCUGCUUCCACUUAGACAAACAGCAUGGAAAUGUGCUAUUGUAAUGAGUAGAAGAUAUUUGUCAUUUAGAGUAUCAUGCGUCAUUGACUUAUGAAAACAAAAUGCAACAGCAAAUUAUCAGUCAGCACAUUUCAAGAUGAGGAAAAGAACAGUAUAAGCUACAUUCAUUGAUGCAUUAUUUAUACAAAAAUGUAUAGUCAACCAAGUCAUCAAUACAUUUUUUUAUGAAGCCAGUUACAGUUACCAUGAAAGGAUGAAAUUUCAGAUAAUAUUCUGUUUGUUUUAUGAAAUGAGAAUAGGCCUACAUCAGAAAUUGAAAUGGUCAUCUUCAGUAUUUAAUGUUUCAUCUAAAAAUGAUAAUUAUAUUAAUACAUAUUUGAUGUACAAACAAAUGAAAACCAUUCAAACACUUUUUUUUUGUGAAGUAUAGAGGAUUAAACUUGUAAGUGUCUGAACAAUA